GAUGAACGCUGGCGGCGUGCCUAAUACAUGCAAGUCGAGCGAACGGACGAGAAGCUUGCUUUUCUGAUGUUAGCGGCGGACGGGUGAGUAACACGUGGAUAACCUACCUAUAAGACUGGGAUAACUUCGGGAAACCGGAGCUAAUACCGGAUAAUAUUUUGAACCGCAUGGUUCAAAAGUGAAGGACGGUCUUGCUGUCACUUAUAGAUGGAUCCGCGCUGCAUUAGCUAGUUGGUAAGUUAACGGCUUACCAAGGCAACGAUGCAUAGCCGACCUGAGAGGGUGAUCGGCCACACUGGAACUGAGACACGGUCCAGACUCCUACGGGAGGCAGCAGUAGGGAAUCUUCCGCAAUGGGCGAAAGCCUGACGGAGCAACGCCGCGUGAGUGAUGAAGGUCUUCGGAUCGUAAAACUCUGUUAUUAGGGAAGAACAUAUGUGUAAGUAACUGUGCACAUCUUGACGGUACCUAAUCAGAAAGCCACGGCUAACUACGUG
rnacentral:rRNA from 1 species